rnacentral:snRNA from 1 species
AAGUACGUAGCACAGAGCGAACUAUUCUUUCGCCUUUUACUAAAGAAUACCGUGUGCUCGCAGCACAAUGCAGUAUACGCCAAUUACGUCGCUACAGCUGGCGACU